UUAAAGGAAUUGACGGGGACCCGCACAAGCGGUGGAUGAUGUGGUUAAUUCGAUGCAACGCGAAAAACCUUACCCACCUUUGACAUGUACGGAACCCUUUAGAGAUAGAGGGGUGCUCGAAAGAGAGCCGUAACACAGGUGCUGCAUGGCUGUCGUCAGCUCGUGUCGUGAGAUGUUGGGUUAAGUCCCGCAACGAGCGCAACCCUUGUCAUUAGUUGCUACAUUCAGUUGGGCACUCUAAUGAGACUGCCGGUGACAAGCCGGAGGAAGGUGGGGAUGACGUCAAGUCCUCAUGGCCCUUAUAGGUGGGGCUACACACGUCAUACAAUGGCUGGUACAAAGGGUUGCCAACCCGCGAGGGGGAGCCAAUCCCAUAAAGCCAGUCGUAGUCCGGAUCGUAGUCUGCAACUCGACUACGUGAAGUCGGAAUCGCUAGUAAUCGUGGAUCAGAAUGUCACGGUGAAUACGUUCCCGGGUCUU
rnacentral:rRNA from 1 species